UUUCGAUUGAGUUCAAAACCCUGAACGGAUCUCAAAUCCUGUGUUGAUGCGUUCGCUAAUGAUCUCAAAUCGAAACUUCUAGUCGAGCGUGAGAAGAAUACCAUUAACCGAUGCAUAAUCCCGGUCAUGGAAGCUGUCCAGAUUCGCUAAAAGAGAUGACAGACGCAGAGGAAUUUUUGGCUACACUUUUGAAGGUCUCCCCUGACAGAUACCCUCAAAUCAUCCAUCAAUAUGUUGAGGAAACCAAUCAGGCAGAGCUAGUUCAUCUCUGCAGCUUCUAUGGCUGCGAAAUUGUUUAAGACUUGGUGUGGCUCUGAAGAUGAAGGCAUUUUAUUUGAAUUUUCAUUGUCAGCAACUCGUAUGUUUUGCAGAUAUGUAACGGGAUUUUUGUUACACCUUCUGGAUUCAUUCUUCUAUGCUAAAGUUGAUCGGAUAUUGAAGUUGAAGUUCUCUAUCAUCAUGGGAAUAUCUUCAAGUCAUCUCUGUUGUUAAGAGUCAUGUAAACUUGCUUUUGUCCAGUUUUGUUGCAUGUUUACAGGAUUGGAUCUCUAUGAUUUUAAUGUUAAUGACAUCUUAGUUUGUUAAAGUG